rnacentral:rRNA from 1 species
UACGUAGGACCCAAGCGUUGUCCGGAUUUACUGGGUGUAAAGGGUGCGCAGGCGGACUGGUAAGUCUGUGGUGAAAUCUCGCCGCUUAACGGCGAAACUGCCUUAGAUACUAUCAGUCUUGAAUAAGCGAGAGAUCCGUGGAAUUCCGAGUGUAGCAGUGAAAUGUGUAGAUAUUCGGAAGAACACCAGAGGCGAAGGCAGCGGGUUGGCGCUUUAUUGACGCUCAGGCACGAAAGCAUGGGGAUCAAACAGG